rnacentral:rRNA from 1 species
GUGUCAGCAGCCGCGGUAAUACGGAGGGUGCAAGCGUUGUUCGGAAUCAUUGGGCGUAAAGAGCGUGUAGGCGGUCGGGUAAGUCAGAUGUGAAAUCCCUUGGCUUAACCAAGGAAGUGCAUUUGAAACUGCCCGGCUUGAGUACGGGAGGGGGAAGUGGAAUUCCCGGUGUAGAGGUGAAAUUCGUAGAUAUCGGGAGGAACACCGGUGGCGAAGGCGGCUUCCUGGACCGAUACUGACGCUGAGACGCGAAAGCGUGGGGAGCAAACAGGAUUAGAUACCCUCGUAGUCC